UACGAAGGGUGCUAGCGUUGUUCGGAAUUACUGGGCGUAAAGCGCACGCAGGCGGCCUGUCAAGCCAGGGGUGAAAUUCCGGGGCUCAACCCCGGGACUGCCUUUGGAACUGGCAGGCUUGAGAAUGGCAGGGGAUGGUGGAAUUCCUAGUGUAGGGGUGGAAUCCGUAGAUAUUAGGAGGAACACCGGUGGCGAAGGCGACCAUCUGGGCCAUUUCUGACGCUCAUGUGCGAAAGCGUGGGUAGCAAACAGG
rnacentral:misc_RNA from 1 species